UUAAACCUCCUUUGACUACCAGGAAAAGCAGAAAGAAAGCAAUUUUAAAGGAAAAAAAUCUGCAUUUACUUUUUGCUUUAAAUACAUAUGAAAGACAGUUUAAGAAACUGUGCACUCAACAAAGAAUAGAUGAUUAUUUUUUCGGUGUCACUCACCAGGAAUACUCAGUAUUCAUUUCUGCGUCCAGUCUUUCUGAGAACCAGAGGGAGUGAAACAUUGAAAGACACAAGAUGAGAGAGAGAGAAAGAGAAAUCAAGAGAGAGAGAAAGAAAUUAUAACACCAAAUUACAAUCCAUGAAAAUCACAAGACACAGAGUUCUGUAAAACCUGGACUGAGUUCCCCGACCAGGGAUCAAACUUGUACCCCACUGCGGUGGAAGUGGGGGAGAUCCAACCACUGGACCGCCAAGGAAUUCCCUCAAGUCAGUUCUCUUUUCCUGACUUCUUGAGCCAUUUUUGGACCAGCUUCAGAGGCCUGCUCUGCUGUCUCCCAGAAAGGACCA